rnacentral:rRNA from 1 species
CCAAUAGCGUAUAUUAAAGUUGUUGCAGUUAAAAAGCUCGUAGUUGAAUUUCGGGGUUCUACCGUUGGUCGGGCAAUAGUCUGUACUGGCGUGUGGAAUUUCUACCUUCUGGGGAACCAUCAUGUUAUUAAUUUAGCGUGGUGGGAAACCAGGACCUUUACCUUGAAAAAAUUAGAGUGUUCAAAGCAGGCUUACGUCUGAAUACAUUAGCAUGGAAUAAUAAAAUAGGACGGUGGUCCUGUUUUGUUGGUUUCUGAAUCACCGUAAUGAUUAAUAGUGAUAGUUGGGGGCAUUAGUAUUCAAUUGUCAGAGGUGAAAUUCUUGGAUUUAUUGAAGACUAACUUCUGCGAAAGCAUUUGCCAAGGAUGUUUUCAUUAAUCAAGAACGAAAGUUAGGGGAUCGAAGACGAUCAGAUACCGUCGUAGUCUUAACCAUAAACUAUGCCGACUAGGGAUCGGACGAUGUUAAUUUUUCUUGACUCGUUCGGCGCCUUACG